UACAGAGGUCUCAAGCGUUGUUCGGAUUCAUUGGGCGUAAAGGGUGCGUAGGUGGCGCCGUAAGUCAGGUGUGAAAUCUCGGGGCUUAACUCCGAAACUGCAUUUGAUACUGCGGUGCUUGAGGACUGGAGAGGAGACUGGAAUUUACGGUGUAGCAGUGAAAUGCGUAGAGAUCGUAAGGAAGACCAGUGGCGAAGGCGGGUCUCUGGACAGUUCCUGACACUGAGGCACGAAAGCGUGGGGAGCAAACAGG
rnacentral:rRNA from 1 species